UGGUCAAUAUAUUGUCAGUUGGGUUUACAUUUACGCAAUUUAACAAGUAAUGGUGCUUUGAUAAUUAAAACAUUAAAAAGUGGAACAUGAUAUGAACAGUAGCGUUCAUCGAAUGUUCUAAUUGAGAACGUUUCUAAAAAUAGAUUUGUGACAAUAUCUGACGUCAUUCAAGUACUACAACAACAACAACAACAACAAGUAAGCGUUGGAGAAACGCAAGCUGAACAAUGACUAAAAUUGAAGAAAAAUACGGAUAGCGAGUAAGUACUGUUGUUCCAAGCAGUGAUUAAAGAUUUGAACUAUACUGUAGAUCUACAGAAACUGGAGCAGAAAUAAGGGGAUGAUGUAAUUUCCAGACUUCCAAACAGAUCUUUGAGGAUAAUGAAGAAUAUGAUUGUCCUGCUAAAUUGGAGACAAAUGAAAACACCUCGCACAAACUGAUGACAUACACUACAGAGGAAAGCAACUGUCCUUUGGUGUUUCGACAUAGAAUAUUGAUUAUUGUUUAUGUACUCUCGCAGCAGUUUGUAUUUGCGAAGAAAUUUAGGAAAUUAUCCUUAAUUCAUGUGUUAUGUUAAGAAGACUGCAUUCAUGCACACAAGAAUAUAAAAAAUAGAAAUACAACAUGUUAUAACAACAAGUGAAACAAUGCUAGGAUAUUGAAAGACAGGUUAUGUUGCUGUGUGAUUAUUACUCAAACUUUUGUGGUCUGAUAUGAAACGCAAGAUUCAUGUUAAC